UCCGUAGGUGAAACCUGCGGAGUGAUCAUUACCGAGUUAUACAACUCAUCAACCCUCUAUUCUGAACAUACCAUAUAACGUUGCCUCGGCGGGUCAACAGACGGCCCCGUAACACGGGCCGCCCCCGCCAGAGGACCCCCUAACUCUGUUUCUAUAAUGUUUCUUCUGAGUAAACAAGCAAAUAAAUUAAAACUUUCAACAACGGAUCUCUUGGCUCUGGCAUCGAUGAAGAACGCAGCGAAAUGCGAUAAGUAAUGUGAAUUGCAGAAUUCAGUGAAUCAUCGAAUCUUUGAACGCACAUUGCGCCCGCCAGUAUUCUGGCGGGCAUGCCUGUUCGAGCGUCAUUACAACCCUCAGGCCCCCGGGCCUGGCGUUGGGGAUCGGCGGAAGCCCCCUGCGGGCACAACGCCGUCCCCCAAAUACAGUGGCGGUCCCGCCGCAGCUUCCAUUGCGUAGUAGCUAACACCUCGCAACUGGAGAGCGGCGCGGCCACGCCGUAAAACACCCAACUUCUGAAUGUUGACACUCGAAUCAGGUAGGAAUACCACGCUGAACUUAAACAUAUCAAUAAGCGGAGGAA
rnacentral:rRNA from 1 species